GGGAAGCUGACAGUAACUCAAAUAACCACACAUUACAACCGUGGUAGGUGGAAGAAAAUCUCUGAAUGCACAACACAUCAAAUCUUGAAGUGGAGGGACUACAGCAGCAGAAGACCGCAAACAUACACUGUGAGCCAACCAAAUGGCAGCCAGCAGUUAGAAUAUUCUGGGCCUUGUAUCUGAGGAAGAAUGUUCAAUCCUGGAGAAGGUCCAGAGGAGGUUCACAAGGAUGAUCCCAGGCCUCUGAUUCUCAUCCUUCCACCUGUGAGGACACUUCUGAUCACUUUCUCCGCAGUACAACCGCUCACAGACAGUCACUGGCAAAGGGGAACACAAGACUUGUGUUCAGCACCUCUCUCAUUGGGCUGAUAGGGGGAUGAUUGUAUCAUUCUCACAAUUAAACAACUUAC